AUGUUUUGACAGCACAUAUACAAAAAUCAGACUGAUACAGAGAUUAGCAUGGCUCCUGGGCGAGAAUGACACACAAAUUCAUGAAAUGUUCCACAUUUUU
rnacentral:snRNA from 1 species